CCUACGGGCGGCAGCAGUGGGGAAUAUUGGACAAUGGGGGGAACCCUGAUCCAGCCAUGCCGCGUGUGUGAAGAAGGCCCUCGGGUUGUAAAGCACUUUCAGUGAGGAAGAACGCCUGGUGGUUAAUACCCAUCAGGAAAGACAUCACUCACAGAAGAAGCACCGGCUAACUCCGUGCCAGCAACCGCGGUAAUACGGAGGGUGCGAGCGUUAAUCGGAAUUACUGGGCGUAAAGCGCGCGUAGGUGGCUUGAUAAGCCGGUUGUGAAAGCCCCGGGCUCAACCUGGGAACGGCAUCCGGAACUGUCAAGCUAGAGUGCAGGAGAGGAAGGUAGAAUUCCCGGUGUAGCGGUGAAAUGCGUAGAGAUCGGGAGGAAUACCAGUGGCGAAGGCGGCCUUCUGGACUGACACUGACACUGAGGUGCGAAAGCGUGGGUAGCAAACAGGAUUAGAUACCCGUGUAGUC
rnacentral:rRNA from 1 species